CUCAUCUCUUCACUCAUUCCUCUCUCUCUCUCUCUCUCUCUCUCUCUCUCUCCAAGAUAAGUGUCCUAUUAGUUUGUGCCUUUUUCCCUCAUGGGGGAGAGAGAAAAGCUUUCAGGUCAUAAAGCAAUGCAGAAGUUUCUUCAAGGUCUUCUUCAAGCAACUGGAAACAUCAAAAUCCAUGGGCGCGCAAAAGGGUCAAAUCUUCUUUGGGUUUCAGUGUGGCCUUCUUGGGAGCUCCAUUUUGAUGGUGGCUUGUUCAUGUUAAUCGGGUGCUAUCCUAACUGAGCUUUUCCACAACCUCUUCUUCGUUUUCAUUCUCUUCUUCCUCUAUUUCUUUAGUAUUUUUCACCAUUCCCCUUUGAUCUUCUUUCGUGUUAAGUUUUCUUGACCUUGUAGGACCUUUUCUUGACCUUGUAAGACCAUGCGCCAUAUUUUCAGUCUUUGCCUUUCAUGUUUUCACAAAUCUUGUUCAGUAAAUUACUGAUAAAGGUUUGGUCCUUGUCUUUCUUUAUUCUCGCCCAAGUUUCAUUCUCUUUCCUUGUCUAUUCCUCCUGAGCUAUUCAACUUCAUUAGGAUCAAUCUUGACAUUCUCUACUAAAAAAAUUGGUCCAAUUUAUUCUAGAGAAUUGGUACAAUUUAUUCUACUCUAGAGGGCGCCUAUCUGCGCAAGUUCACAUUCGAGUUCAUCUUAUCAUAACCUUUCACUCGUUGUAAUUUAAGCUGAUCAUGAAGGAGAGAAUUCCUUAAGUGAUCAGGUAGGAUAAGAUUGUACUCCCUCCUAGUGCUUUCACAACUAUGACUCGUCAACAUUAUUACCUUGUACCUAGUAGAUUUUUCAUGUAUGUUUGGUAGACUACAUAUGGAUUUCAAUGUUAUCAUUAUUAUGUGGGCCGAUUUAUGUUGUCACUUGAAUGGAUUUGGUUUGUUUUU